AGAGUUUGAUCAUGGCUCAGAACGAACGCUGGCGGCGUGGAUUAGGCAUGCAAGUCGUGCGUGAAAGGGGAGCAAUCUCCGAGUAAAGCGGCGAACUGGUGAGUAACAGGUGGGUAACGUGCCCUGAAGUGGGGGAUAACACCGGGAAACCGGUGCUAAUACCGCAUGUGGCGUCAAGGACUCUGGUCCCUGCCGCUAAAGCAGCAGUGCGCUUCAGGAUCGGCCCGUCCCCGAUUAGCUUGUUGGUGAGGUAAUGGCUCACCAAGGCGACGAUCGGUAGCUGGUCUGAGAGGAUGGUCAGCCACACUGGAACUGAGAUACGGUCCAGACUCCUACGGGGGGCAGCAGUCUAGAGGCUUCGUCAAUGGGGGCAACCCUGAACGAGCGACGCCGCGUGUGGGAUUGAAGGCCUUCGGGUCGUAAACCACUGUCAUUGGGGAAGAAUGCCCGGAUGGCGAAUCCGGGAGCGACGGUACCCAGGGAGGAAGCCCCGGCUAACUCCGUGCCAGCAGCCGCGGUAAUACGGAGGGGGCAAGCGUUGUUCGGAUUUACUGGGCGUAAAGGGUGUGUAGGCGGCUGGAUAAGUCUGGCGUGAAAUCUUCACCGCUUAACGGGAAGGGGUCGCUGGAAACUGUUCAGCUUGAGUAUGGUAGAGGCAAGCGGAAUUCCUGGUGUAGCGGUGGAAUGUGUAGAUAUCAGGAAGAACACCGGUGGCGAAGGCGGCUUGCUGGGCCAUCACUGACGCUGAAACACGAAAGCGUGGGGAGCAAACGGGAUUAGAUACCCCGGUAGUCCACGCUGUAAACGGUGCGCACUAGGUGUGGGGGGUAUCGACCCCUCCCGUGCCGACGUUAACACAUUAAGUGCGCUGCCUGGGGAGUACGGCCGCAAGGUUGAAACUCAAAGGAAUUGACGGGGGCCCGCACAG
rnacentral:rRNA from 1 species